UACAGAGGUCUCAAGCGUUGUUCGGAUUCAUUGGGCGUAAAGGGUGCGUAGGCGGCGCGGUAAGUCGGGUGUGAAAUCUCGGAGCUUAACUCCGAAACUGCAUUCGAUACUGCCGUGCUUUGAGGACUGGAGAGGAGACUGGAAUUUACGGUGUAGCGGUGAAAUGCGUAGAUAUCGUAAGGGAAGACCAGUGGCGAAGGCGGGUCUCUGGACAGUUCCUGACGCUGAGGACGAGGCCAGGGGGAGCGAACGGG
rnacentral:rRNA from 1 species